rnacentral:lncRNA from 1 species
UUUACUUGUAUUAAUUUUUCGGAUAAAGAUAGGUUGAUUUACAAAGUGACGAUUUCUCUAUUUAUAUAGACAAAUUACAAAAGGGGUACAAUUGUAAAGAUAGGUUGAUUUACAAAGUGACGAUUUCACCUCCUAAUCAGCUUUUUUAUCCUUCUUAUAACUGAUUCUACAAACUCUCUCAAGGCAUGAAGAUGAUUUGGCUUUGAUUCUCUCCUAGCGUUUUUGGUCGUGAAAGAAUAAUUCUUCAUCCUGUGGAAAAAAUAGCAUAAGUCGUCUCAAGAUAUAUAUAAUUAAAGGUUCACCAUGGCAUUAGGCUGGUGACGUGGCCUAGAUGCUUUAUGGGCGCCACCGUGGCAUUUUGGUUCUAUCCUUUAUUUUUCCUAGUCUUGACCUUUUAAGAAAGUGUCACUGUGGCAUUUAGCGAAACCUUCCUCUCCUCUAGUUGAGACCCCUCAUGGAAGUGCCACCAUGGCACUUAGCUUGUCACUACAUUUUUCCCAAACACACGACUCUUUUUCUACUUUGAGAGUUUUGGCAAGAUCUUCAACAUUGGAUGAUCUUAUGGUCCUAAGUAAUGGAAGUGUCAUCGUGGCACUAAAUUGGAGGUGCCACUAUGGCCCAGAUCCUCUAAAUCCUUUGCUUCCU